rnacentral:rRNA from 1 species
AACGAACGCUGGCGGCAGGCUUAACACAUGCAAGUCGAACGCCCCGCCAGGGGAGUGGCCGACGGGUGAGUAACGCGUGGGAAUCUACCCAUCCCUACGGAAUAACGCAUGGAAACGUGUGCUAAUACCGUAUACGCCCUACGGGGGAAAGAUUUAUCGGGGAUGGAUGAGCCCGCGUUGGAUUAGCUAGUUGGUGGGGUAAAGGCCUACCAAGGCGACGAUCCAUAGCUGGUCUGAGAGGAUGAUCAGCCACAUUGGGACUGAGACACGGCCCAAACUCCUACGGGAGGCAGCAGUGGGGAAUAUUGGACAAUGGGCGCAAGCCUGAUCCAGCCAUGCCGCGUGAGUGAUGAAGGCCUUAGGGUUGUAAAGCUCUUUCACCGGAGAAGAUAAUGACGGUAUCCGGAGAAGAAGCCCCGGCUAACUUCGUG